rnacentral:rRNA from 1 species
UGGGGAAUAUUGGACAAUGGGCGCAACCCUGAUCCAGCAAUGCCGCGUGAGUGAAGAAGGCCUUCGGGUUGUAAAGCUCUUUUGUCAGGGAAGAAACGGUAGUAGCGAAUAACUAUUACUAAUGACGGUACCUGAAGAAUAAGCACCGGCUAACUACGUGCCAGCAGCCGCGGUAAUACGUAGGGUGCAAGCGUUAAUCGGAAUUACUGGGCGUAAAGCGUGCGCAGGCGGUUGUGUAAGUCAGAUGUGAAAUCCCCGGGCUCAACCUGGGAAUUGCAUUUGAGACUGCACGGCUAGAGUGUGUCAGAGGGGGGUAGAAUUCCACGUGUAGCAGUGAAAUGCGUAGAUAUGUGGAGGAAUACCGAUGGCGAAGGCAGCCCCCUGGGAUAACACUGACGCUCAUGCACGAAAGCGUGGGGAGCAAACAGGAUUAGAUACCCCCGUAGUCCCUGAGCGGGCUGGCAAGGCGCAU